CGGAAGGUCCGGGCGUUAUCCGGAUUUAUUGGGUUUAAAGGGAGCGUAGGCCGGAGAUUAAGCGUGUUGUGAAAUGUAGACGCUCACGUCUGCACUGCAGCGCGAACUGGUUUCCUUGAGUACGCACAAAGUGGGCGGAAUUCGUGGUGUAGCGGUGAAAUGCUUAGAUAUCACGAAGAACUCCGAUUGCGAAGGCAGCUCACUGGAGCGCAACUGACGCUGAAGCUCGAAAGUGCGGGUAUCGA
rnacentral:rRNA from 1 species